UGGGGAAUUUUGGACAAUGGGCGAAAGCCUGAUCCAGCAAUGCCGCGUGUGUGAAGAAGGCCUUCGGGUUGUAAAGCACUUUUGUUCGGAAAGAAAUCCUUGGCUCUAAUACAGUCGGGGGAUGACGGUACCGGAAGAAUAAGCACCGGCUAACUACGUGCCAGCAGCCGCGGUAAUACGUAGGGUGCAAGCGUUAAUCGGAAUUACUGGGCGUAAAGCGUGCGCAGGCGGUUUGCUAAGACCGAUGUGAAAUCCCCGGGCUCAACCUGGGAACUGCAUUGGUGACUGGCAGGCUAGAGUAUGGCAGAGGGGGGUAGAAUUCCACGUGUAGCAGUGAAAUGCGUAGAGAUGUGGAGGAAUACCGAUGGCGAAGGCAGCCCCCUGGGCCAAAUACUGACGCUCAUGCACGAAAGCGUGGGGAGCAAAACAGGAUUAGAUACCCUGGUAGUCCACGCCCUAAAACGAUGUCAACUAGUUGUUGGGGAUUCAUUUCCUUAGUAACGUAGCUAACGCGUGAAGUUGACCGCCUGGGGAGUACGGUCGCAAGAUUAAAACUCAAAUGAAUUGACGGGGUCAUAGCUGUUUCC
rnacentral:rRNA from 1 species